rnacentral:rRNA from 1 species
UGGGGAAUAUUGGGCAAUGGGGCGAAAGCCUGACCCAGCAACGCCGCGUGAAGGAAGAAGGUUUUCGGAUUGUAAACUUCUUUUAUCAGGGACGAAGAAAGUGACGGUACCUGAUGAAUAAGCAACGGCUAACUACGUGCCAGCAGCCGCGGUAAUACGUAGGUUGCAAGCGUUGUCCGGAUUUACUGGGUGUAAAGGGCGUGUAGGCGGAGAUGCAAGUCGGGAGUGAAAUCCAUGGGCUUAACCCAUGAACUGCUUUCGAAACUGUAUCCCUUGAGUAUCGGAGAGGCAAGCGGAAUUCCUAGUGUAGCGGUGAAAUGCGUAGAUAUUAGGAGGAACACCAGUGGCGAAGGCGGCUUGCUGGACGACAACUGACGCUGAGGCGCGAAAGCGUGGGGAGCAAACAGGAUUAGAUACCCUGGUAU